AGUGAACGCUGGCGGUAGGCCUAACACAUGCAAGUCGAACGGCAGCACAGGAGAGCUUGCUCUCUGGGUGGCGAGUGGCGGACGGGUGAGGAAUACAUCGGAAUCUACUCUGUCGUGGGGGAUAACGCAGGGAAACUUACGCUAAUACCGCAUACGACCUACGGGUGAAAGCAGGGGACCUUCGGGCCUUGCGCGAUUGAGUGAGCCGAUGUCGGAUUAGCUAGUUGGCGGGGUAAAGGCCCACCAAGGCGACGAUCCGUAGCUGGUCUGAGAGGAUGAUCAGCCACACUGGAACUGAGACACGGUCCAGACUCCUACGGGAGGCAGCAGUGGGGAAUAUUGGACAAUGGGCGCAAGCCUGAUCCAGCCAUACCGCGUGGGUGAAGAAGGCCUUCGGGUUGUAAAGCCCUUUUGUUGGGAAAGAAAUCCAGCUGGCUAAUACCCGGUUGGGAUGACGGUACCCAAAGAAUAAGCACCGGCUAACUUCGUGCCAGCAGCCGCCGUAA
rnacentral:rRNA from 1 species